rnacentral:rRNA from 1 species
UUGGCGUUUUAGUGGCGGACGGGUGAGUAACGCGUGGGUAACCUGCCGUAUACCGGGGGAUAACACCUGGAAACAGGUGCUAAUACCGCAUAAGCGCACGGGACCGCAUGGUCCAGUGUGAAAAACCGAGGUGGUAUGCGAUGGACCCGCGUCUGAUUAGCCAGUUGGCAGGGUAACGGCCUACCAAAGCGACGAUCAGUAGCCGGCCUGAGAGGGUGGACGGCCACAUUGGGACUGAGACACGGCCCAAACUCCUACGGAAGGCAGCAG